UUUCUGACUCAGAGUGAGAGAGUGAAGUCUGUCAGUGUUGGAGGGACUGUGUCCAUCAGCUCCACAGGAAGUUCAGAUAUUGGUUCUGAUCUCAGUUGGUACCUUCAGAAACCUGGACAGCCUCCCAAACUUCUUAUAUACAGAGUUUCAAAUCUGUUCUCAGGAACUCCAUCCAGGUUCAGUGGCAGCAGAUCUGAUUCUCACUACACUUUAACCAUCAGUGGGUUUCAGGCUGAAGAUGUUGGAGAUUAUUACUGUUUGGGUUAUCAUAGUGAUGCAACGUUCACACAUCCUGUGAGUUCAAGCCUGCAGGACUCAGAUCUGUCAGUCAACACAGCAGAAACAACAAGCACCAUGACUCUCAUCACCAUCCUCAUCUGGACUCUGCUCUGCUGCUGCUUCACAGGAUGCAGCGCUCAGGUGACUGUGGAUCAACCUGCAGUACAGACAUUUACUGCAGGAGACACUGUUACUCUGACAUGUAAGACCAGCAAGUCUGUUGCAGGUUGUGCUGGUG